rnacentral:rRNA from 1 species
CUAAGGUAACGGCGAGUGAAGCGGGAAGAGCUCAAAUUUGUAAUCUGGCGGCCUCUGGCUGUCCGAGUUGUAGUCUGGAGAAGUGUUUUCUGUGCCGGACCGUGUACAAGUCCCUUGGAACAGGGCGUCAUAGAGGGUGAGAAUCCCGUCUCUGACACGGACUCCCGGUGCUUUGUGAUGCGCUCUCGAAGAGUCGAGUUGUUUGGGAAUGCAGCUCAAAAUGGGUGGUAAAUUCCAUCUAAAGCUAAAUAUUGGCGAAAGACCGAUAGCGAACAAGUACCGUGAGGGAAAGAUGAAAAGCACUUUGGAAAGAGAGUUAAACAGUACGUGAAAUUGUUGAAAGGGAAACGCUUGAAGUCAGUCGCGUCUGGUGGGACUCAGCCUUACUUCUGUAUGGUGCAUUUCCUAUUUGACGGGCCAGCAUCGAUUUCGAUCACUGGAGAAAGGUGGGGGGAACGUGGCACCCUCGGGUGUGUUAUAGCCCUCUAUCGUAUGCAGUGAUUGGGAUCGAGGAUCGCAGCACGCCUUAACGGUCGGGGUUCGCCCACGUAACGUGCUUAGGAUGCUGGCGUAAUGGCUUUAAGCGACCCGUCUUGAAACACGGACCAAGGAGUCUAACAUGCCUGCGAGUGUUUGGGUGUCAAACCCGGACGCGAAAUGAAAGUGAACAGUUGGGACCUCUGUCGUGGAGGGCACCGACGCCCGGACCAGACCUUCUGUGACGGUUCCGAGGUAGAGCAUGUAUGUUGGGACCCGAAAGAUGGUGAACUAUGCCUGAGUAGGGUGAAGCCAGA